rnacentral:lncRNA from 1 species
GUGCGCUUGCGGAUCAAUUCCUUAUUGCGUUCCCAAAUAUCAACAAGCAUUUCUGGCGCCGUUGCCGGGGAGAAAGACGGUUGCUAAGAUAACCUGUGUCUUGCUAUUAGCUUGUAUCUAUACUUUUAUCUUUUCUUAUCUUUUAUAUUCUUUAUUUAUUUUUCUUUACUCUUACCUUAUGGAAAACCAAAAUUCUAAAUCGAUCCAUGAGUCUGCAAUCCCUUUAGCAACUGACCUUUUACCAUGGGAAUCAUCACAGCCUAUCCAAACACCCC